CAGUCGCCGCGUAAUACCGAGGAUGCAAGCGUUAUCCGGAAUGAUUGGGCGUCAAGGGCUCGCAGGCGGUUUCUUAAGUCUGAUGUGAAAGCCCCCGGCUCAACCGGGGAGGGUCAUUGGAAACUGGGAAACUUGAGUGCAGAAGAGGAGAGUGGAAUUCCACGUGUAGCGGUGAAAUGCGUAGAGAUGUGGAGGAACACCAGUGGCGAAGGCGACUCUCUGGUCUGUAACUGACGCUGAGGAGCGAAAGUGUGGGGAGCGAACAGGAUUAGAUACCCCCGUAGUCCCUGUCUCUUAUACC
rnacentral:rRNA from 1 species